AUCAUGUCCUGUUUUCUGGUUUGAUUCAGUGGUCUACAAAGUCUCCUACCAUUACCACUUCCUGAGCUUUCUGAGUCAGGACGAGAUGGCUGCAGGAAGCAGCACCACAAAGUCAGCAGCAUGAAGUGGAUGAUGAUGUGGAGACAUUUCCUGAAAGCCUUCUGUCCUGGAACUUCCUGAAGGAUCUUGACAGUGUGAUGGCGUCCCACAGCUCCUUGUGCAUCUUCAGGGACUUUACCACAGCUGUUCACUGGUGAGAACAUGGAAGUUUUAUUCACUCAAAAAGCAGUGUGUUGGAGCCAAUCUACAGCUAGUGGCUGUAGAUGCUUUGCCUUUGGUUUGACAUCUCUUUUAGGCUCCCAGACACAUUGAAGGUCGGUUCCUUGUCAGAAGAGCUUGCCAAGUGCCUGGACCCUCAUUAAAUGCCUUGCUGUUGUAAUAACGGCAUGAGAACACCCAGCAAGUUUUUUGUGCCAGAGGAAACUUCUGUGAGAAAAAGAAGCAAGUACAUGAUGCUGUGCUUUCAACAGACAUCACUGAGAGCUGUGUUUGGGGACUGAUGUGUCAGCUGCCUAUCAAUACAGCCAUGGAGUUGAAUACAUCAGGAAAGCUUUAAGAAGAAUGGGAGAAAAAGAAAAAGAA